rnacentral:tRNA from 3 species
GCGCCCGUAGCUCAGCAGGACAGAGCAGCGGACUUCUAAUCCGCGGGUCGCAGGUUCGAAUCCUGCCGGGCGCG